UACGUAUGGUGCGAGCGUUAAUCGGAAUUACUGGGCGUAAAGCGUGCGCAGGCGGUCUGUUAAGACCGAUGUGAAAUCCCCGGGCUUAACCUGGGAACUGCAUUGGUGACUGGCAGGCUUUGAGUGUGGCAGAGGGAGGUAGAAUUCCACGUGUAGCAGUGAAAUGCGUAGAGAUGUGGAGGAAUACCGAUGGCGAAGGCAGCCUCCUGGGCCAACACUGACGCUCAUGCACGAAAGCGUGGGGAGCAAACAGG
rnacentral:rRNA from 1 species